AAUUUUUUUUUUCAUCCUCUCUUGUAUUUUAUUAUGUUUGACCGAGGGUUCACAAUAAUAAUUAUUAUAUAACCCGUCGAGACAAUAGGUUGGUAUUCUCGAAUGUCAUUCACUAUAUAUUAUAAUACGUUAGAAUCUGUUAUUGUUUAGUACGAGAAGUAUAAUUGUCAGCUCCCACGGUUGAUAUUUUAAACUAAUGGAAAUUGUUGUUGUGGUUGUGUUUGUCCACGACUGCAGCUUUCCAACUGUCCAAGGAUAGAUUCGAAAUCACAAAGUGUUUCAGAGUACGUACUUAACAUUUUCAAUUAAUGGAUACCUAUAAAUAUAUUUUAUUAUAACUGUGGACUUCGUUAUUAUUUUCAUUUAUACCU